rnacentral:rRNA from 1 species
GACGAACGCUGGCGGCGUGCCUAAUACAUGCAAGUCGAGCGGACUGAAUGGGAGCUUGCUCUUGUUCGGUCAGCGGCGGACGGGUGAGUAACACGUGGGCAACCUGCCCGCAAGACCGGGAUAACUCCGGGAAACCGGAGCUAAUACCGGAUAACACCGAAGACCGCAUGGUCUUUGGUUGAAAGGCGGCGCAAGCUGCCACUUGCGGAUGGGCCCGCGGCGCAUUAGCUAGUUGGUGAGGUAACGGCUCACCAAGGCGACGAUGCGUAGCCGGCCUGAGGGGGUGACCGGCCACACUGGGACUGAGACACGGCCCAGACUCCUACGGGAGGCAGCAGUAGGGAAUCUUCCGCAAUGGGCGAAGGCCUGACGGAGCGACGCCGCGUGAGCGAAGAAGGCCUUCGGGUCGUAAAGCUCUGUUGUGAGGGACGAAGGAGCGCCGUUUGAAGAAGGCGGCGCGGUGACGGUACCUCACGAGGAAGCCCCGGCUAACUACGUG